UUAGUGGCGGACGGGUGAGUAACGCGUGGAAAACCUGCCGUAUACUGGGGGAUAACACUUAGAAAUAGGUGCUAAUACCGCAUAAGCGCACAGCUUUGCAUGAAGCGGUGUGAAAAACUCUGGUGGUAUACGAUGGUUCCGCGUCUGAUUAGCUAGUUGGUGGGGUAACGGCCUACCAAGGCAACGAUCAGUAGCCGGCCUGAGAGGGUGAACGGCCACAUUGGGACUGAGACACGGCCCAAACUCCUACGGGAGGCAGCAG
rnacentral:rRNA from 1 species